rnacentral:rRNA from 1 species
GACGAACGCUGGCGGCGUGCCUAAUACAUGCAAGUAGAACGCACAGGAUGCACCGUAGUUUACUACACCGUAUUCCGUGAGUUGCGAACGGGUGAGUAACGCGUAGGUAACCUGCCUGGUAGCGGGGGAUAACUAUUGGAAACGAUAGCUAAUACCGCAUAAGAACAUUUACUGCAUGGUAGAUGUUUAAAAGGUGCAAAUGCAUCACUACCAGAUGGACCUGCGUUGUAUUAGCUAGUAGGUGAGGUAACGGCUCACCUAGGCGACGAUACAUAGCCGACCUGAGAGGGUGAUCGGCCACACUGGGACUGAGACACGGCCCAGACUCCUACGGGAGGCAGCAGUAGGGAAUCUUCGGCAAUGGGGGGAACCCUGACCGAGCAACGCCGCGUGAGUGAAGAAGGUUUUCGGAUCGUAAAGCUCUGUUGUUAAGGAAGAACGAGUGUGAGAAUGGAAAGUUCAUACUGUGACGGACUAACC